UACAGAGGUCUCAAGCGUUGUUCGGAUUCAUUGGGCGUAAAGGGUGCGUAGGCGGCGCGGUAAGUCGGGUGUGAAAUCUCGGAGCUUAACUCCGAAAUUGCAUUCGAUACUGCCGUGCUUGAGGACUGGAGAGGAGACUGGAAUUCAUGGUGUAGCAGUGAAAUGCGUAGAGAUCAUGAGGAAGACCAGUGGCGAAGGCGGGUCUCUGGACAGUUCCUGACGCUGAGGCACGAAGGUCAGGGGAGCAAAACGGG
rnacentral:rRNA from 1 species